UCGUAAAUUUUAACGACUAAUU
rnacentral:snRNA from 1 species